rnacentral:rRNA from 1 species
GAUGAACGCUGGCGGCGUGCCUAAUACAUGCAAGUCGAGCGAACAGACGAGGAGCUUGCUCCUCUGACGUUAGCGGCGGACGGGUGAGUAACACGUGGAUAACCUACCUAUAAGACUGGGAUCACUUCGGGAAACCGGAGCUAAUACCGGAUAAUAUAUUGAACCGCAUGGUUCAAUAGUGAAAGACGGUUUUGCUGUCACUUAUAGAUGGAUCCGCGCCGCAUUAGCUAGUUGGUAAGGUAACGGCUUACCAAGGCAACGAUGCGUAGCCGACCUGAGAGGGUGUUCGGCCACAGUGGAACUGAGACACGGUCCAGACUCCUACGGGAGGCAGAAGUAGGGAAGCGUGCGCAAUGGGCGAAAGCCUGACGGAGCAACGCCGCGUGAGUGAUGAAGGUCUUCGGAUCGUAAAACGCUGUUAGUAGGGAAGAACAAAUGUGUAAGUAACUAUGCACGUCUUGACGGUACCUAAUCAGAAAGCCACGGCUAACUACGUG